rnacentral:misc_RNA from 1 species
UCUCCGUUGGUGAACCGGCGGAGGGAUCAUUAUCGAGUUUAUAACUCCCAAACCCUAUGUGAACUUACCACUUGUUGCUUCGGCGCGCGCUUCGGUGCCGCCGAGGACACUUAAACUCUUUGUUUUUAUAAGCAUUUCUGAGUGGCCGAAAGGCAAAAUACAAAUGAAUCAAAACUUUCAACAACGGAUCUCUUGGUUCUG